CGAAAACGAAUUCUCUCUUGAGUGGAUCCUGAGUACGACGGAGCACGUGAAAUUCCGUCGGAAUCUGGGAGGACCAUCUCCUAAGGCUAAAUACUCUCUAGUGACCGAUAGUGAACCAGUACCGUGAGGGAAAGGUGAAAAGUACCCCGGAAGGGGAGUGAAAGAGAACUUGAAACCGUGUGCUUACAAGUAGUCAGAGCCCGUUAAUGGGUGAUGGCGUGCCUUUUGUAGAAUGAACCGGCGAGUUACGAUCUGAUGCAAGGUUAAGCAGAAAAUGUGGAGCCGUAGCGAAAGCGAGUCUGAAUAGGGCGAAUGAGUAUUUGGUCGUAGACCCGAAACCAGGUGAUCUACCCUUGGUCAGGUUGAAGUUCAGGUAACACUGAAUGGAGGACCGAACCGACUUACGUUGAAAAGUGAGCGGAUGAACUGAGGGUAGCGGAGAAAUUCCAAUCGAACUUGGAGAUAGCUGGUUCUCUCCGAAAUAGCUUUAGGGCUAGCCUCAAGUGAUGAUUAUUGGAGGUAGAGCACUGUUUGGACGAGGGGCCCCUCUCGGGUUACCGAAUUCAGACAAACUCCGAAUGCCAAAUAAUUUAACUUGGGAGUCAGAAUGUGGGUGAUAAGGUCCAUAUUCGAAAGGGAAACAGCCCAGACCACCAGCUAAGGUCCCAAAAUAUAUGUUAAGUGGAAAAGGAUGUGGCGUUGCCCAGACAACUAGGAUGUUGGCUUAGAAGCAGCCAUCAUUUAAAGAGUGCGUAAUAGCUCACUAGUCGAGUGACACUGCGCCGAAAAUGUACCGGGGCUAAACAUAUUACCGAAGCUGUGGAUUGUCCUUUGGACAAUGGUAGGAGAGCGUUCUAAGGGCGUUGAAGCAUGAUCGCAAGGACAUGUGGAGCGCUUAGAAGUGAGAAUGCCGGUGUGAGUAGCGAAAGACGGGUGAGAAUCCCGUCCACCGAUUGACUAAGGUUUCCAGAGGAAGGCUCGUCCGCUCUGGGUUAGUCGGGUCCUAAGCUGAGGCCGACAGGCGUAGGCGAUGGAUAACAGGUUGAUAUUCCUGUACCACCAUUAUUCGUUUUAAGCGAUGGGGGGACGCAGUAGGAUAGGCGAAGCGUGCUGUUGGAGUGCACGUCCAAGCAGUGAGAUUGAGUGUUAGGCAAAUCCGGCACUCUUAAGAUUGAGCUGUGAUGGGGAGAGGAACUUGUUCCUCGAGUCGUUGAUUUCACACUGCCGAGAAAAGCCUCUAGCUAGAAUAACGGUGCCCGUACCGCAAACCGACACAGGUAGUCAAGAUGAGAAUUCUAAGGUGAGCGAGCGAACUCUCGUUAAGGAACUCGGCAAAAUGACCCCGUAACUUCGGGAGAAGGGGUGCUCUUUGAGGUUCACGCUUCGAAGAGCCGCAGUGAAUAGGCCCAAGCGACUGUUUAUCAAAAACACAGGUCUCUGCUAAACCGUAAGGUGACGUAUAGGGGCUGACGCCUGCCCGGUGCUGGAAGGUUAAGAGGAGUGGUUAGCGCAAGCGAAGCUACGAAUCGAAGCCCCAGUAAACGGCGGCCGUAACUAUAACGGUCCUAAGGUAGCGAAAUUCCUUGUCGGGUAAGUUCCGACCCGCACGAAAGGCGUAACGAUUUGGGCACUGUCUCAACGAGAGACUCGGUGAAAUCAUAGUACCGGUGAAGAUGCCGGUUACCCGCGACAGGACGGAAAGACCCCGUGGAGCUUUACUGUAGCCUGAUAUUGAAAUUCGGUACAGUUUGUACAGGAUAGGUAGGAGCCUUAGAAGCGUGAGCGCUAGCUUACGUGGAGGCAUUGGUGGGAUACUACCCUAAUUGUAUUGGAUUUCUAACCCGCAGCACUUAUCGUGCUGGGAGACAGUGUCAGGCGGGCAGUUUGACUGGGGCGGUCGCCUCCUAAAGAGUAACGGAGGCGCUCAAAGGUUCCCUCAGAAUGGUUGGAAAUCAUUCAUAGAGUGUAAAGGCAUAAGGGAGCUUGACUGCGAGACCUACAAGUCGAGCAGGGUCGAAAGACGGACUUAGUGAUCCGGUGGUUCCGCAUGGAAGGGCCAUCGCUCAACGGAUAAAAGCUACCCCGGGGAUAACAGGCUUAUCUCCCCCAAGAGUUCACAUCGACGGGGAGGUUUGGCACCUCGAUGUCGGCUCAUCGCAUCCUGGGGCUGUAGUCGGUCCCAAGGGUUGGGCUGUUCGCCCAUUAAAGCGGUACGCGAGCUGGGUUCAGAACGUCGUGAGACAGUUCGGUCCCUAUCCGUCGUGGGCGUAGGAAAUUUGAGAGGAGCUGUCCUUAGUACGAGAGGACCGGGAUGGACAUACCUCUGGUGUACCAGUUGUCGUGCCAACGGCAUAGCUGGGUAGCUAUGUAUGGACGGGAUAAGUG
rnacentral:rRNA from 1 species